rnacentral:lncRNA from 1 species
AACAAAUGAAAUAAAAGAAUAGAAAAAGAGAAGAAGAACAGAAAAGAAACAGAGAAAGAGACGAAAACAGGGGAAGGGAAAGAAAAGAAAGGGGGAAAAUUGAGAUUUUGAAGCUUGAAGUUUAAUAGGUAAGCUAAAUCAAGUCAUUUUCUCAUAAAUUUGAUGUUUUUGGAAUCCUAGAGUGAAAUACUCUUGGAUUUAAGUUAAAAAUUUGAAAAAUAAUAGAUUUUUGAGUAGGGUUUAUGUUGAAUAAAUGAUGGAAUUGAGGGUUUAUUUGAUAGAAUUUCUAGUUAGAAUUGAUAAAGGGGGUUAAAUUGUAAAGUAAGCUAUAAAUUUUGAAUUUUAGGGAUUAAAUUGAAAUAAUUUCGAAAUUAUGAAAAUAUGAUAAAAAUUAGAUAGUUAAAUGUGAGUUUGGUAGGAAAUUAAGUAGUAAAAAGGUAUGAAUUGAGAAAGAAAAAUAUAUAGGUUAGUUAGGAUUAAAUUAGAAUUAAAGUAAAAGUUAGAUAAAAAUUUCAGCAAUUAAAUUGUUUUGUGCUAAUGAUUGUGAAAUUAUUUUAAUUGUUCGUAGCUAAUAUCGAGCCUGAAGCAUCGGCCCAAAAAGGAAAAGAAAAGAUCGUCGAGGAUUAAAUCCGAAGAGAAUUCCGGUUUGUAUUACUAUAAUUCAAAUCUAUUUAUUAUUAAUUGUUAUAUUUUAAUUAAAAUGCAUGGUAAGUAAAAUUAGGUAAGCAAUGGAAAUGAUAAUAGUGAUUUGAAUUGAAUGAUGGAAGUAUGUGAGUAUUUGAAAUGUAUAUUGAUUAAAAAGUAAUUAGUGGUUUGAAUUUGAUUGGAAAAUGAAUUUAAGAUGUGAAUUAAAUAAAGUGAAUUAAUUUAUGAAUAUGUGUGAAAAUGUGAAUUGUGUAUUGAUUGAAAAGUGGUUUGAAUUGAAUUGAAAUAUGAUUAUAUGUGAUUGUUAAUUGAUUAGAAAGUGGAAAAGUGAUCUUGAAUUGGAAAAGAAAGUGAAUUGAGAAUUUGAAUACCCUAUUAACUAGUCGGGCUAAGUCGGAUAUAGUUGGCAUGUCAUAGGAUUUGGAAGAGUACGGGAUUUAUCGGCUUUGCCGAUCAGGCACUUUAUGUGUCGUAUCUCAGGCACUUUAUGUGUCGUAUCAGACAUCUCGUGUGUCGUUUCAGGUACUUAUGUGUCGUAUACUGAUCAGGUUACCAUUUUAGGCACAAUGUGCUGUACUGGUGUGUUUGGGUUGGAAUCCGUGUAUCCGUCAUAGUCUGGAUUUGUUAAUAGGGUGAAUAAUUGAAAUGAGAAAAUCAAAUGAAUUUGAUCGAUUGUGGUAUUGAAUAUGAGAAAAUUUAAAAUUGCGGAUUGAAAUUGAUAUUGAAAAUGAAAGGCAUGAAUUUAAUGUUUAUGUAGUGAUUGAAAUUGCUACAUGUGAUAUGUGAUUGAGAUUGAAGAAUAGAUAAAAAUUGUAUUGUUAUUGUCAAAUAAUGAAAGUUUAUGAAUUAAUUGAUAUUUAACAAAUCGGAUAGUUAUAUGCUCGGUAAUUAUAAUUCUUUAUUGCUAUUAUAAUUUGAAUUAUGGUAACACCACUGAGUAUAAAAUACUCAGCGUACGGUUGUUUCCGUGUGCAGGUUGAAAAAAGGGUCAGAGUCUCGGUCCAGCAUCCAGGUCAAUCCCGACUCCUGCAUAGAGAUUCGGUGAUGUUUUUUUCCUUAAAUGAAAGUGGCAUGUACAUAAGAAUGAUAAUGGUUAUUUUGGUAUGUUAUAUAAUUUUGUUGUAAAGAAAGGUAUUUGAUGUUUUGAUGAUUAUAUUAGUAAAAUGGUAGAAGUUAUUUAUAACAUUGGUAUUGAGUUGAAAUGGC